rnacentral:hammerhead_ribozyme from 1 species
AUGCAGCUGACGAGUUCCGAAUAGAAUGAAACGCGCGUCGAACUGGAU